AAAUGAAUAGACGGGGGCCCGCACAAGCGGUGGAGCAUGUGGUUUAAUUCGACGCAACGCGAAGAACCUUACCAGGACUUGACAUCCCCUGCUAGCUACAGAGAUGUAGUGUUUGAUCCUUCGGGAUUGACAGGGAGACAGGUGGUGCAUGGUUGUCGUCAGCUCGUGUCGUGAGAUGUUGGGUUAAGUCCCGCAACGAGCGCAACCCUUAUUCUUAGUUGCCAGCAUUUCGGAUGGGCACUCUAAGGAGACUGCCGGUGACAAACCGGAGGAAGGUGGGGAUGACGUCAAAUCAUCAUGCCCUUUAUGUCCUGGGCUACACACGUGCUACAAUGGCCUGUACAGAGGGUAGCGAAGCUGCGAAGCGGAGCCAAUCCCAAAAAGCAGGUCCCAGUUCGGAUUGUAGGCUGCAACUCGCCUGCAUGAAGUAGGAAUCGCUAGUAAUCGUGGAUCAGCAUGCCACGGUGAAUACGUUCCCGGGCCUUGUACACACCGCCCGU
rnacentral:rRNA from 1 species